AGUGAACGCUGGCGGUAGGCCUAACACAUGCAAGUCGAACGGCAGCACCGUACGAGCUUGCUCUUACGGGUUGCGAGUGGCGUACGGGUGAGGAAUAUAUCGUAAUCUACUUUUUCGUGGGGGAUCACGUAGGUAAACUUACUCUAAUACCGCAUACGCCCUACGGGUGAAAGCAGGGGAUCUUCGCACCUUGCGCGAUUGAAUGCGCCGAUGUCGGAUUAGCUAGUUGGCGGGGUAAAGGCCCACCCAGGCGACGAUCCGUAGCUGGUCUGAGAGGAUGAUCAGCCACACUGGAACUGAGACACGGUCCAGACUCCUACGGGAGGCAGCAGUGGGGAAUAUUGGGCAAUGGGCGCAAGCCUGAUCCAGCCAGACCGAGUGGGUGAAGAAGGCCUUCGGGUUGUAAAGACCUUUUGUUGGGAAAGAAAAGCAGCAGGUUAAUACCCCGCUGUUCUGACGGUACCCAAAGAAUAAGCACCGGCUAACUUCGUG
rnacentral:rRNA from 1 species